rfam:Nestor notabilis contig50570, whole genome shotgun sequence.
AAACAGGCUCCAUUUGGAGCCCACAUGUUUUUAAAGACAAAUAAAU